rnacentral:rRNA from 1 species
GUAGCAGGGAAACGCCCGGUCCCUUUCCGAACCCGGAAGCUAAGCCUGGUUACGCUG